rnacentral:lncRNA from 1 species
GGAAGCCAGACUCUGUGAAUCAGGCCCAAGUCCCUUCUUCUUCCAUGAGCUGGUUGUAGCUCACAUCCCCAGGAACGUUAAGGGAGAGCCAUUGGUGCAACAGAGGCUGAAGCUCAUCAGUAGAGUCCCUAGGGCUCCAGGAGACAAUUGCUGAGAUGGAGUGAAAUGCCAAUGUGUUCUCAGGGGAAAUAGAUGGAACUCUCAUCUCCUACCAUCUGCCAGGGACGAAUUGGAAGUAAAGAGAUACAAAAGUUGAGCGAGGAGGGUAUUUCAAGGAAUCCAUGACCAGCACCCUCCACUGUCUGAUUGUCUGAUGCCCUAGAAGUACUAAGAAGCAAAAGAAAGAUCAUCCAAAUAAAUGGAUAUUUAAACUCUCCCUAUGGUACUAC